rnacentral:rRNA from 1 species
ACGGGUGAGUAACACGUAGGCAACCUGCCCUCAAGCUUGGGACAACUACCGGAAACGGUAGCUAAUACCGAAUACUUGUUUUCUUCGCCUGAAGAGAACUGGAAAGACGGAGUAAUCUGUCACUUGAGGAUGGGCCUGCGGCGCAUUAGCUAGUUGGUGAGGUAACGGCUCACCAAGGCGACGAUGCGUAGCCGACCUGAGAGGGUGAUCGGCCACACUGGGACUGAGACACGGCCCAGACUCCUACGGGAGGCAGCAGUAGGGAAUCUUCCGCAAUGGGCGAAAGCCUGACGGAGCAAUGCCGCGUGAGUGAUGAAGGUUUUCGGAUCGUAAAGCUCUGUUGCCAGGGAAGAACGCUUAGGAGAGUAACUGCUCCUGAGGUGACGGUACCUGAGAAGAAAGCCCCGGCUAACUACGUGCCAGCAGCCGCGGUAAUACGUAGGGGGCAAGCGUUGUCCGGAAUUAUUGGGCGUAAAGCGCGCGCAGGCGGUCAUUUAAGUCUGGUGUUUAAUCCCGGGGCUCAACCCCGGAUCGCACUGGAAACUGGGUGACUUGAGUGCAGAAGAGGAGAGUGGA